AUUGAACGCUGGCGGCAGGCCUAACACAUGCAAGUCGAGCGAGCGGCGGACGGGUGAGUAAUGUCUGGGAAACUGCCUGAUGGAGGGGGAUAACUAUUGGAAACGGUAGCUAAUACCGCAUACCAUCAGAUGUGCCCAGAUGGGAUUAGCUAGUAGGUGGGGUAACGGCUCACCUGGGCGACGAUCCCUAGCUGGUCUGAGAGGAUGACCGGCCACACGGGAACUGAGACUCAGUCCAGACUCUUGCGGGAGGUAGCAGUGGGGAAUAUUGCACAAUAGGCGCAAGCCUGGUGCAGCCAUGCCGCGUGUGUGAAGAAGGCCUUCGGGUUGUGAAGUACUUUCAGCGGGGAGGCGUUACCCGCAGAAGAAGCACCGGCUAACUCCGUGCCAGCCGCCGCGGUAAUAC
rnacentral:rRNA from 1 species